AGAAGAAGGAAGACCGCACCUGAUCCUGUGCCCAGUGAAACGCUUUUCGCCCAGUUGGAGUGACGCUGAACGUGUCCCAUCAAUAUCCCUCGAUCUUUUAAACAGUGCGCAUUUUAGGAUUUUCUGGACUUUUCUUUAUUUUAUAUCGUUUUGCCGUGGACAUGGCACAUUUUAAAUAGGGCUAAUGAGAGCAGAGACGUAGUUAUUUUACUAGCUAGGUGUUUAGUUAGGUAACUAGUGGAAGCUAGCUUAGCCACAUGGUGUACAUGUCCAGAACUGUCAUGCGACGUGGUUGUUGGGCCGAUGCGUUGCGAUUUCUUUCGGGCAUGGAUUACACAUUUACACGGGUUUUACCCGGUUUAUUUUAACUCUGGGCAACCCAGUUCAACUUUGUCUUAACGUCGCAGGCUGGGGUUCGUAUGGUGAAGUGUUGAAGUUAACGUUGUUCUUCAUGAGCACGGUGGUAGUCUACCAAAGGAGGUGAAGUAUGAAUCUCAACACAAGUGAAGGGACAGCCAUGGGUGCUAGUGGAACCAAUAGCACCCCAUCGACACCAAAAAGAGACCAAAGACCGUUGUUGUCACACACUGUUUCAUAUCAGACAAAACCUCGGACUGUGCCGAGUGGAGAGGGUCAUCCUGUCCAAUGACCUGAGCGACGUCCGAGCCUUUUUCCAGCACCUCGUCACCACACAGAGAAUGUGGCAUUAAGUCCAACCAGUCUCACAAUCGCAUACCAUGUGUAACCACGACCUCCACAUCCGGCUUCUUCACCUGUGGGAUCGUCUGACACCAGACACCCGGACAGCUAAUGACUGGGUUUGAACAUCCAAAGAAUUUCUGCACCAACUGUCAAAAACGGUCUCAGGGAAGUUCAUCUGCAUGCUCGUCGUCCUCACCAGGGUCUUGACCUGACUGCAGUUCGCCGUCGUAACUGAAUUCAGUGGGCAAAUGCUCAUCCAUCGAUGGCCACUGGCACCCUGGAGAAGUGUGCUCUUCACGGAUGAAUCCCGGUUUCAACUGUACCGGGCAGAUGGCAGCCAGCGUGUAUGGCGUGGUGUGGGCGAGUCGUUUGCUGAUGUCAACGUUGUGAACAGAGUUCCCCAUGGUGGCGGUGGGGUUAUGGGCAGCAUGAUAACGCACGGCCCCGUGUCGCAAGGAUCUGA